rnacentral:lncRNA from 1 species
AAAACAUUUUCUGUUUCUCAGAUUGCUAACAGCUAGUCUACCUAGUGUUCUGUUUUUGUUUGUUGUUUGUUUAGGGAAAGGGGUUUCCUCUGGAUUGAGAUUGGGGGAGGAACAAGAUCAGAGAAUACAGGGUAGGCUGCUCAAAUCUUCUAUAGUAGGGUAGUCAGGCCGAAAUAAUCACAUUGAAUAGAGCUGGCAAUCUACCACUGCGGCAGCGAAGGGUGAUUAAAAAAAAUAACUUAACAACACUUUGUGCUUCCUCAUGACAUUACUUCACUCCAAGGUUGACUAGCUCUGUCUGUAGCUUUGAAUAAACUGUGGGAGCCCGAGUGUCUUGAUUGGAAUCAGCUGAAGAAUGAUGUCCUCCCCACAGGCAAAGUGAAGAUUCAAAUCCUAGCAAAAUACAGACUUGUUAAAGAUUCAGCCAGCAAUGCUGCAACUCUCCGUGACUUUCUUCAAUAGAAGCAUCUCCCUCUGACCACAGCCAGCAACAGAAACCACACAGAGCUUUGCUACUCUGAUGUGAUCUCUAGAUCAGUGGAAUCAGUAUCAUCUGGGAAGUUGUUGGAAAUGAAGCAUCUUGGGCCCCACCACAGACCUAUUGAAUGAGAAUCUGCACUUUUAUAAGAUAUUUAGGUAAGUCAUAUGUACAUUACAGUUUGUGUAUCAUUGGGGUAGAGUAACUGUUCUCAGCCUUGAGUGCAUAUUGGAAUCACC